CCUACGGGGGGCAGCAGUGGGGGAUAUUGCACAAUGGGGGAAACCCUGAUGCAGCGACGCCGCGUGUGGGAAGACGGUCCUCUGGAUUGUAAACCACUGUCCCCAGGGACGAAGAUGACGGUACCUGGGGAGGAAGCUCCGGCUAACUACGUGCCAGCAGCCGCGGUAAUACGUAGGGAGCGAGCGUUGUCCGGAAUUACUGGGUGUAAGGGGAGCGUAGGCGGGACUGCAAGUUGGGUGUCAAAUCUACCGGCUCAACCGGUAGCCGCACUCAAAACUGCAGUUCUUGAGUGAAGUAGAGGCAGGCGGAAUUCCUAGUGUAGCGGUGAAAUGCGUAGAUAUUAGGAGGAACACCAGUGGCGAAGGCAGCCUGCUGGGCUUUUACUGACGCUGAGGCUCGAAAGUGUGGGGAGCAAACAGGAUUAGAUACCCGGGUAGUC
rnacentral:rRNA from 1 species